UACGUAGGGUGCAAGCGUUGUCCGGAAUUAUUGGGCGUAAAGAGCUCGUAGGCGGUUUGUCGCGUCUGCUGUGAAAACUCAGGGCUUAACCCUGAGCCUGCAGUGGGUACGGGCAGACUAGAGUGCGGUAGGGGAGACUGGAAUUCCUGGUGUAGCGGUGAAAUGCGCAGAUAUCAGGAGGGAACACCGGUGGGCGAAGGCGGGUCUCUGGGCCGUAACUGACGCUGGAGGAGCGAAAGCGUGGGAGCGAACAGG
rnacentral:rRNA from 1 species